rnacentral:rRNA from 1 species
UACGGAGGGUGCAAGCGUUAUCCGGAUUCACUGGGUUUAAAGGGUGCGUAGGCGGAUAGGUAAGUCCGUGGUGAAAUCCCGCAGCUUAACUGCAGAACUGCCUUGGAUACUAUCUAUCUUGAAUGUCGUGGAGGUUAGCGGAAUAUGUCAUGUAGCGGUGAAAUGCUUAGAGAUGACAUAGAACACCCAUUGCGAAGGCAGCUAACUACGCGAUAAUUGACGCUGAUGCACGAAAGCGUGGGGAUCAAACAGG